GUCACAAGGACAUUUCAGUGUUGUACCUACCUCCUGAAGAGUUGCAGAUGAAUUUCUGGUGCACGAUACCAUGGUCAUUUUCACUUCUCACAAUGAUUUAAUUGUCUGGAAGAGCAAAGAAAAUGUUAUGUACGAACUGUAUCAUACAUAGAAGAAGCAACUCAGUGUCACAUCAGCUGAUGAAAUUAAGUUUUUUAUUCCCUGCCUAAAUCUUCCAUUUGGUAGCAAAAGCUCUACAGGGCUGGCAUUUAUCGAGAGAAGACACACAGCACAGCCUUGCAUAAAUAAUGGCACUGGUCCAAGUACAGCUGAGGUGGUUGCCAGCACAACUCUACUGAAGUCAAAGGAAUUGCACCAUGGGUGUUUCCUUAUGCCCUGUCUUGCCCUUCCCCUUCAAGAGCACAAAGGCAUGUGUGUGUAUCAAAGGAGAGGAGAAGUAAAGACGACCAGUGUUCUUGCAUGUCUUGUAUGAUUUUUCUUUGGCAAGUUAUCAGCUUUUCUUGGUGUCAUUACUUGUUUCUUGCAACGAGAUGUCUACUGUCUGCUUAAUGAGGUUUUGAAUGGCAGUCAACAUUUUUGCUUCUAAAAGAGAUGGAUGUAAAUAUUUGCACUAUUGAAAUCAAUAUUGAGUAGACUGGGAAGUAACUUGGGGUGGGG
rnacentral:lncRNA from 1 species